AUUGAACGCUGGCGGAAUGCUUUACACAUGCAAGUCGAACGGCAGCACGGGGCAACCUGGUGGCGAGUGGCGAACAGGUGAGUAAUACAUCGGAACGUGCCCAAUCGUGGGGGAUAACGUAGCGAAAGUUACGCUAAUACCGCAUACGAUCUACGGAUGAAAGCGGGGGAUCGCAAGACCUCGCGCGAAUGGAGCGGCCGAUGUCAGAUUAGGUAGUUGGUGGGGUAAAGGCUCACCAAGCCAACGAUCUGUAGCUGGUCUGAGAGGACGACCAGCCACGCUGGGACUGAGCCACGGCCCAGACUCCUACGGGAGGCAGCAGUGGGGAAUUUUGGACAAUGGGCGCAAGCCUGAUCCAGCCAUUCCGCGUGCAGGAUGAAGGCCUUCGGGUUGUAAACUGCUUUUGUACGGAACGAAACGGCUCUUUCUAAUACAGGGGGCUAAUGACGGUACCGUAAGAAUAAGCACCGGCUAACUACGUGCCAGCCGCCGCAGUAAAAC
rnacentral:rRNA from 1 species